rnacentral:rRNA from 1 species
GAGUUUGAUCAUGGCUCAGAUUGAACGCUGGCGGCAGGCUUAACACAUGCAAGUCGAACGGAAGUUACUAGCUUGCUAGUAACUUUAGUGGCGAACGGGUGAGUAACAUUUAGGAAUCUGCCUCAUAACGGGGGAUAGCUCGGGGAAACUCGAAUUAAUACCGCAUACACCCUACGGGGGAAAGGUGGCGCAAGCUGCCGAUAUGAGAUGAGCCUAAAUCAGAUUAGCUAGAUGGUGGGGUAAAGGCCUACCAUGGCGACGAUCUGUAACUGGUCUGAGAGGAUGAUCAGUCACACCGGAACUGAGACACGGUCCGGACUCCUACGGGAGGCAGCAGUGGGGAAUAUUGGACAAUGGACGAAAGCCUGAUCCAGCCAUGCCGCGUGUGUGAAGAAGGCCAUAAGGUUGUAAAGCACUUUAAGCAGGGAGGAAGAACUUUUAGUUAAUAGCUAAGAGUGGUGAC